rnacentral:rRNA from 1 species
CUCCUGGAAACGGGUGGUAAUGCCGGAUGUUCCACAUGAGCGCAUGCGAGUGUGGGAAAGGCUUUUUGCGGCGUGGGAUGGGGUCGCGUCCUAUCAGCUUGUUGGUGGGGUAACGGCCUACCAAGGCGUUGACGGGUAGCCGGCCUGAGAGGGCGACCGGCCACAUUGGGACUGAGAUACGGCCCAGACUCCUACGGGAGGCAGCAGUGGGGAAUAUUGCACAAUGGGCGCAAGCCUGAUGCAGCGACGCCGCGUGCGGGAUGGAGGCCUUCGGGUUGUAAACCGCUUUUGUUCAAGGGCAAGGCACGGUUUCGGCCGUGUUGAGUGGAUUGUUCGAAUAAGCACCGGCUAACUACGUGCCAGCAGCCGCGGUAAUACGUAGGGUGCAAGCGUUAUCCGGAUUUAUUGGGCGUAAAGGGCUCGUAGGCGGUUCGUCGCGUCCGGUGUGAAAGUCCAUCGCUUAACGGUGGAUCCGCGCCGGGUACGGGCGGGCUUGAGUGCGGUAGGGGAGACUGGAAUUCCCGGUGUAACGGUGGAAUGUGUAGAUAUCGGGAAGAACACC